rnacentral:rRNA from 1 species
GACGAACGCUGGCGGCGUGCUUAACACAUGCAAGUCGAACGGAGUGGCGAACGGGCGAGUAACUAGUGGGUGACCUGCCCUGCAAUUCGGGGUGAGCAUGGGUAAAUGGGGCUAAUAACGGAUAGUGUGGGAUGGGCCCGCGGCCUAUCGGCUUGUUGGUGGGGUAAUGGCCUACCAAGGCGGCGACGGGAAGCCGGCCUGGGAGGGGGGACGGGCACCAUGGGCCUGAGGCACGUCCCAGACGGGUACGUGGGGCAGCAGGGGGGAACAUUGUGCAACGGGCGGACGCCUGAGGCAGCGACGCCGCGGUGGUGAUGACGGCCCUGGGGUGGGAAACGCCUUGCAGCUUCGACGCGGUAGAUGGAGAAGAAGCACCGGCUAACUACGUGCCAGCAGCCGCGGUAAUAC